UACGUAGGGUGCAAGCGUUGUCCGGAAUUAUUGGGCGUAAAGAGCUCGUAGGCGGUUUGUUGCGUCGGCUGUGAAAUCCCGAGGCUCAACCUCGGGUCUGCAGUCGAUACGAGCAAACUAGAGUGUUGCAGGGGAGACUGGAAUUCCUGGUGUAGCGGUGAAAUGCGCAGAUAUCAGGAGGAACACCGGUGGCGAAGGCGGCCUCUGGACGGUGAC
rnacentral:rRNA from 1 species